rnacentral:rRNA from 1 species
UCGCCUGUUUUUCAAAAACAUGUCUUAUUGAUAAUAAUAUUAAGUCUAACCUGCUCAAUGAAUUUAUUUUAAUAGCCAUAGUAUCUUAACUAUGCAAAGGUAGCAUAAUCAUUUGUCUUUUAAUUGAAGGCUUGUAUGAAUGGUUUGAUGAGGGGUAUACUUUCUUAACUUAAAUUUUAUUUAAUUUAAUAUUUGAGUAAAAAGGCUUAAAUAUAGUUUUGGGACGAGAAGACCCUAUAGAAUUUUAUUAUUAUAUUAUAUUUUUAUUAUAAUAUUAGUGAGGAUAUUUUAUGAUAAUUUUGUUGGGGUGACAGUGGAAAUUUCUUAACUUCUAUUAUUUAUUAUACAUUAAUUAGUGUUUUAAUGAUCCUUUAUUAUGGAUUAUAAGAUUAAAUUACCUUAGGGAUAACAGCGUAAUUUUUUUGGAGAGUUCUUAUCGAUGAAAUAGUUUGCGACCUCGAUGUUGGAUUAAAGUUAAUUAUUAGUGCAGAAAUUAAUAAAUUAGGUCUGUUCGACCUUUAAAUCUUUACAUGAUCUGAGUUCAAACCGGAGA